rnacentral:rRNA from 1 species
UACGGAGGGAGCUAGCGUUGUUCGGAAUUACUGGGCGUAAAGCGCACGUAGGCGGCUUUGUAAGUUAGAGGUGAAAGCCUGGGGCUCAACCCCAGAAUUGCCUUUAAGACUGCAUCGCUUGAAUCCAGGAGAGGUGAGUGGAAUUCCGAGUGUAGAGGUGAAAUUCGUAGAUAUUCGGAAGAAACACCGGUGGCGAAGGCGGCCCAAC